CUCUUCACCCUCAGCUACCCCUUUGGACUUUCCUACAGGAGAAUCGUAUCUAAACAGGUAAAACUUAUAUAAUUUUUAAUAAAAAUGUGAUGUCAUUGUUCUUUUUGUAUCAGCAGCCAAUGAGCUUGCUGCUUAACGUUCAAAUACUUGGUUAGUGCUUGCUGUAGCAAUUGCUGCACACUUCAGAAAACCUGCACCUUCCCCAGCUCCACCUGUAUAGGUCUGCAAUGGCAUCAUUGGCAUGAUUUAUGUAUGCUAUGAAUGGGGGUAAUUCUAUAUAUGUUAUAUGUACAGCAGCAGUAUUUCUUACAUGCCAAGACCAAACACAUUACCAUUGUCAUGUGCAUUAUCAUGCUAAUCACUUCAAGAGCUGUCAUGAUAGAAAUAUAACGAUAACUAAUUUAAUGUCUAUUUCACAAAACACCAUUUCACAAUAGCGUUAUGUUUAACUGUGCUCUGUAGUCUGCUGAUCUUUAAAGCUGGGUGGAUUCUGAUUAGCUGUCAAUGUUUUUAUCAUUCAUCAGCUGGAAAAAAAAAUCAUUCUGAAAUUGAUUUUAACUAUAUUGUUCCUCUGUGUCGUUACGGUUAUAGUUUUGGUGUGGACUUAUUGUCUCUAUUGUCAUAGAGUUAUAAUAUAUCAUUAUAGUUAUCAUUCUUGGUUUGAAUAGGAUUCUGGAUGACAAUUAUUGUUACUGAAUGAUUGUUUAUGCAUCAUUUUCUGUUUGAGCAGUGCAGAGUGGAGUGUGUAUCUCUUGACAGUGAGCAAAAAGGUUCAUUUGGAGAGACCACCUGCCACAUCAGCAAACCCAUCCUCAAAGGAAACUCUCAGGCUGUGUUACAUAUUACAUACAGCAUCAGUAAAGAACACACCUUCGAUCAAAAUGUCAAAUUUACUGCUAGAAUCAACAGGUAUGACACAUGAAUAUCACCUNUGACAAUGGAUGUUACGUUUCCACUUGAUGGUUAAAGUUAAAUCUGGGAUUCUAAAGCAAAACCAGUUGAAAUUUGAUGUUUAAUUUAGUCAGGUAAUAUUUUGUUUGACAUGAAAUCUAAUUUAACAUUUUUUAGUUGUAUUAAUUGUAUUACACUGUAGUUAGUAAUUGGCCAAGCUAAAUAUUCUUCGGACUGAUAAAUCUCAUUAGACAACUUGUUUUUUUAUAUUUUAUUGUAUGGUUUACCAAAUAAAUGCAGGCUUGAGGAAAGUGUUUUCA
ensembl:lncRNA